CCUUCCGCCUGAUUAAAUCUUUAGUCAGCUCAAGCUGAACUGAGGGAAGUGUUUGGGUGCCAAAUUCCUCAGCGAACAAAACCUUCCACUUAUAUUGGUGAGAGAACCCGUGCAAACAUUAGAGCUGUCAUUUGAAGAGCCUAUUACAAAUGGAGUCAGUGUAGCAGUUUAGAAUCUGCAAGCAAGUUAAAUGAUUCUGGGAUGAAGUCUUCAAAGGUGCAUCACAGCCACUAAAGAAUUCAACUGAUCAUUUGUCAGCUUCAGCAUGAUCUGCCUUCAGCUUUGGGAUGACUUGUUUCAAGCACAGAUACUCAGCACACAAUUCAUCUCCAUCAACAGUCAUAUCACAGGCAGUUACAAUCUCCAAAAUAUCAGAAGAACAGCAAGACUCAUCAAGGUUUAGAACAUGCAGUUUCUUCAGCGGACUUGUUUCAAAGUCAAACUACUUAUCCAGGUAAGCUAUCACUCAAUUGUACAAGUUCAGAGCUUCUGUUUUAAAUGAUGACACCUGGCUGUCAGUCAUAAAUCUGAAACUGUUAAUCACAAAGCCAAAAAACUGAUCUUUUUUUUUCUCACCAACUCAUUAAGUACUUUCUCCACCACAGCAAAAAGCUGUGUGAUGCAAGUUGUUUGACUCCAGUCGCUUAAUGGCCUGUGUGAACACUCAUGAAGCUGUACACAAAAUGAAUGUACCAUUCUGGGACAGCAAGUUCACCAUUCUGCAACAACCUGUCUUCCUGAUCUGCAGUAAAACUCCAAAUCAAUAUAUUUGUUUCCUGUUUUCCUUCACUGAUGAAAUAAAUCGUUACAGCUGUCCAGCAUUUUAUGAGCUUUCAACUGCAGGUUCAAGAGACAACCAGUGCACAGGAAUACGAUGUAACAAAACAGCGUAUUCUUCCUUUGCAAAGUCGUAGCAAGAUUUCAGCUUAUCCAACCAUUUAGCUGAUGAUGAAAAUUCAUUGUAUACCUUGGCAACCAAUUGCUCAACGUCAAAGGUCAACUGUUUGCAUGUGUAUUUUGCAGUGUUGUGCAGAACGUGGCAGUUGCAGUUUGCUUUGAUAAAACAUGGUUGUUUGGUCUUUAAAUUAGUAAAAAUGGAAUGGUGCUUGCCAUAGCUGACAGAUGCAUUAUCAGCACAGUAGCUGACUUAGGUUUUCAGCUGCAUACUAUUGCCUUCUACCGCUUCUAAAAUCUUGGUUGUUACUCCAUCUGCAGUUUCAUCACUGUCCACACAAAAAUCAAUCAAACGAUCACUGACACCUCUGGUAGAUGAAAAGAACCGGACAGACACUGGAUAUAUUUUCAGAUUGCCUUUGUUUGAAGCAUUAGUUGCUAAUGAUAAUGGUUUAUUCUGCUGCAGUUCACUUAAAGCCAGCUCCGCAGAAUGAGGUGAUAAAAUGUUUUCAGUGAACGACUAUGCUUUUAUUUUUCCACAAGAAAUUGUUUUGGCAAGUUUGGAAUAGGAAAAUAUUUGGCAAAAGAGUUUAUUACCACAAGCCUGCGAUGAGUAGCUGUGAUGAUGAAACGUCAUUGCUAGUUCGGACACAGUAACUUGUUCUUGGUCCAAAAAGUUGGGAGUGGAAAAGAAAUGUUUCACUGUAGCUGACAUUUUUUGGCUUUGAGAGUUUCGUUUGUGCUUGUUACUAGCUGUAUGUUUCCUGAUGGCCGUAAGUCCAUCAGUUCUGACAGAAAAUGAGCAGCAACUUUAUAGUGGAUAAAGUCGAUGUUAUUAUUGUCCCGGUUGAACUCUGAAUCCUUCAGCUACUCCUCUCGAAACUCACAAGUUCAUUGUUUCUUCUUAGGUGGAGUGAGUUUGUUAGUCACACACACAGGCAAUGAGGUCAUAUUCUUCACAGGUACAGGAAAUCCAUUAUCCAUCUCUUGGCAUGAUUCAGCAAAACCUGUUUCUCUAUUAAAUUUCCUAGUAGAAAAGAAAAACAAUAUAAUUUCUCUGCCCCUUAUUAAUAAAUAAGUAGAAAAACAGUUUAAAGUAAGCGGGGCAGGAACAGUUUGGAUUCAGAUCAGGAUGCACUACAACCAGCCUGUCAUUUGCAAUGAGACAGAUAGUGGGGAAAAGGCUAGAAAUGUGGAAAGAGUCCAAAUUAGGCAUUUCUGUAUUUGGAGAAAGCAUAUGACAAGGUUCCAAAAAAGUUGAUUUGGGCAGUGCUGAGAUGGUUCAAAGUUCCUGAAACAUUGGUAGAAUUCAUGCAGGCUGUGACGCCCCACCACUGGACCAUUAAUCAAGGAGCCUGAAUCCCCACCACUAGCAACGGUGGGGGACAUACGUUGGGAGGAUGAC